GGAGAGGUGACCGAGUGGUUUAAGGUAACGGUCUUGAAAACCGUCGUGGGGCAACUUACCGCGAGUUCGAAUCUCGCCCUCUCCGCCA
rnacentral:tRNA from 1 species